UCACAUUACACAAGGACCUUAAGGGACAUACAUACACUUAUAAUUCUAACAGCUUUUAUGUUAGUAGAGUAUUUAGACUAAUAGGCCUGUCUUUGUCUGCAAUAUUUGUUGGAUGGCGUCACAGGGUUUCCUCGGUAACGCGCUCUUGAAUUCCACACACAGAGCUGUGUGAAUUUCAGUACGAGGGGACAGGACGACUGGACAGGGGUUGUACAGCCAGGCAAAUUGACGUAGCCCGUCUCCCUAGGUUUGUUGCUGAGGCGGCAGUUGCGGUAGUGGCAGAGGUCAACCAUGGCGGACAUCAGUGAGCAGUGCACACCCAUCGUGGUGUACCAGGAGGACGUGAGCGAGAACCCUGUCACUGCGCGAAGCCAGAAGGAGAGCCUACAAGAGGCCUCACACACUCCAGCCUCUUGUCUGGUGGGUUCAAUAGGGUCCCUCAGUGCAAGGAUUGCCCGUUUGCCUCCCCUCUUCAGCUCUAUGGGUUAUGACUGCGGACAGACGCUACAUACUCACCUAGCUGCUAUCGCAGAGGGCAAAGACAGACAAGACAAGGCGGGGUCAAAGUUCACACGGCUGUCGUCCCAGCAGGACUCGUCCACGUCGCUGCAGAAUCGCCGGCACAACAUGCCAGCUGAAAAGCGUGAGGUGGGCAUGCCCAAGCUGGUGGAGCUGUAUCAGUACCCAGGGUUCAGAGAUGACAUGCCCAUGCCCCUGCCACACAGCAACACCUUUUCUACCAUCAUUACCCACGUAGUGAGGGCACAGCCACACCUCACCGACAAGCCCAGGUACAAGGCAGUGUUCCUAAGCAUCCUAUCUUCUUCUAUGAUGGAGGACUUUGUCAUGGACUCCUUCUGGUGGCUGUUUCUACAGCACUUCCAGCCAGACGCACGCAUACAGGACAGCCUCUUUGCACGAAUCGCAGAGAAUUACAUCCGAAUCCUGACCCAGAGUCUAACAUCACGCAGUGGCAAGUGGUUUCUCAGGGAGUUCCCCAGUACUCUGGCCCAGACCCUGUACUGCUGCUUCUGCUGUUGUUUCCCUCAGUCCUGCAGAACCCUCCGCAGUGACACCUUCCUCAUCCCACUGUGCUUUACUGCCUACCAGUGGACAGGAGGUAUCUGUCCUGCCCCUGAUGUUUUUAAAAAGUGGGAUUUCGAGGCUCUGGAGCCAGAGGAGGCCACUCAUGUUCAGUUUGUUUCUGGGAACAAGAGGAAUGAGAAAGAGAGUGACUCAUGUCUGUCUCUCCUAGACAGUAUGUUCUCCAGUGCCUAUGUUGAUGAGCCCUUUCAUAGUAAAUUGACCAGCAGUGCCACCACUCUACUGAGGAACAAACCGAGCUCAUUGCUGACCAGUAGUAGUCACACCACUCUGGAGAGCCAGCCAUCUAAAAGCACAGUUAACACAACCAGCACUACCUCAGGCUCGGAAGAGAAGACCGUGGGCUCAGCGAACAUCACAGGGUCAGACCUGAAGGCCCUGACUGGACAGGCCAACCAGACACCUGCCAGAGAGUCCCAAGUAGCCUACCCGGACAUGGCGUUUAAGCGCAGUGUGUUUAACGUGUAUGGCAACAGUCCUCUGGUGCAGUACUACAUGCGUGUUCUCCACAUGGACCCCAAGGUGGGACAGGACGUACUGGUGGUCCGGACCGAGAUCAGCAAGCUGCCUCCAUAUCCUCACAAUGAUAAUAAUGGAGUGUGUGUGUGUGUGUGUGUGUAAUGUGUAUGUGUGUGUCCCGGCGCCAAACAUGUACCCCACAGAUCAUUCUGUUGAUAAAGUUAGAGGGUACUCCUGUAUUAGCCAUUCUGCCACCCGCAUCCACAUACAGGGCCUUCAGAAAGUAUUCAUGCCCUUGACUUAUUCUACAUGUGUUGUAUUACAGCCUGAAUUCAAAAUGGAUUCAAUAUAUUUUUUCUCACCCAUCUACACACAAUGCCCCAUAAUGACAAAGUGAGAACAUGUUUUUAGAAAUAUCUGCAGAUUUAUUGAAAAUUAAAUACAGAAAGAUCUCAUUUACAUAAGUAUUCACACCCUUGGGUCAAUACUUAGAAAGAUUGGUGCCAAAGGUGUUUUUACUAAGAGCUUUCCACACCUGGAUUUGCCCAUUAUUCUUUUAAAAAUGAUGCAAGCUCUUUUAAAUUGGUUGUUGAUCAUUGCCAGACAACCAUUUUCAGCUAUUUGCCAUAGAUGUUCAAGUAGAUUUAAGUCUAAACUGUAUCUUGGCCACUCAGGAACAUUCUUGGUAAGCAACUCCAGUGUAGAUUUGGCAUUGUGUAUUAGGUUAUUUUCCUGCUGAAAGGUGAAUUCAUCUCCCAGUGUCUGGUGGAAAGCAGACUGAACCAGGUUUUCCUCUAACCUUUUUCCUGUGCUUAGCUCCAUUCCAUAUUUUUUUUAUCCUGAAACCCUCCCCAGUCCUUAACAAUUACAAGCAUGACCAUAACAUGGUGCAGCCACCACUGAUUGAAAAUAUGGAGAUUAGUACUCAGUAAUGUGAUGUAUUGGAUUUGCCCCAAACAUAAAACUUUGUUUUCAGGACAAAAAGUCAAUUGCUUUGCCACAUUUUUUGCAGUAUUACUUUAGUGCCUUAUUGCAAACAGGAUGCAUGUUUUGGAAUAUUUGGUUUCCUUCCUCAGUUAGAAAGGACACCUGAAUCUUUGAAGUGACUGGGUGUAUUGAUACACCAUCCAAAGUGUAUUUAAUAACUUCACCAUGUUCAAAGGGAUAUUCAAUGUCUGCAUUUUUUUUUACCCAUCUACCAAUAGUUGCCUUUCUUUGCGAGGCAUUGGAAAACCUCCCGGGUCUUUGUGGUUGAAUGUGUUUGAAAUUCACUGCUCUACUGAGGGACCUUACAGAUAAUUGUGUGUGGGGUACAGAGAUGAGACUGUAACACAACAAAAUGCUGAAAAAGUCAAGGGGUGUGAAUACUUUCUGAUGGCGCUGUACAUGACAUCACAGCCAGUGUUCCUUCCUUGACCCCUUGGUGAUGUUACGGCUGGAUCAGUGACGUACAGGGACAUUCUGAGUAAGGCCCAGGAGCGUUCUGUGGCCCACCGCAGGGACCUCAGGACCAUGUGGGGCCAAUACUCCAAGGACCUCUAUGUUCUCAACCAGAGGAAGCUGGACGAGCGCUAUGAAACCUUCAGG